AAUAAUAUCAACACUGCAAAUGCUCUUCCCAGUAUCCACAGAACAUGGCGUUCCUAUCUCAGAGAUGGCUUCAAAACCAAUGAAAUCCUCUCCACAUAAGCUGCUAGUCUCACUAGCCACUGAAAGAGAACAAGAACUAUCAAGAAUAGGAUCACCCUCCAAGGAAAAGGAAUCAUCUUCUUCAUUUUGCUGGUUUAUCACAUCAUCGCUAACCACCCAGUUGCUUUUAUUUUCGAAGAUCAUAUCCAAGAAAGAAGCUCCUCCCCCCUUGUCCUCUUCUGGAACUGCAACAGCUGUAUCACUAACUUCAUUAUCCAAAUCA
rnacentral:misc_RNA from 1 species